AAGUAUUAUCACACAAGCCUCCUCUGUGACAUAUCUGCUGUCAUGGCAACUAAAUUCAGCCCUGAUUGAGUGAGUUUGGUUUCAAUUUCACAGCAAGACUGCAAGGAGGAAGUAAAAAUAAGCGGCUGAUAUCCAUAUGGAAAGAAAAGCAUUUGAUUCAACGUUUUUCUCUUAUCCAGCAUGAUUUCUGUAACUGACAUAUAGGAUUGAAUUUCCUUUUAAAGGAACUCUACAGCUGACAGUGUUAAAAUACAUUAUACAAUCAGCCUUAACAUUAAUUUCAUUGGUUUUCUAUAGCAGCAGCUAGCAAAAUGCAAUUCUGAGCACCAGCAAGCAAAACAGCAAGAAGUAACAGAUGGCACACAUCUGGAACUGCUGGAUGCCCACUUGUAGGACCCUUUUAUAUACCAGGGGAGGAGUCUGAGCUCUCUUUCAGUAAGCCAGUCUCUUUGAAAACACAGAUGGCAUUCAUUUCCAGAUGUUCAACAGAGACUAUGCUAUUUAAAAUGUGUGCAUGAAGUUUUAUGCAUAAAAAUGAUCUGAAGCACUGUUGACAGCUGCAGAACUAAACCCUUCACACCUCAAGAGGAGACCGAAUAUGAGCUUCUUCCACAACACAAAAUGCCAGAAAAAAACAUGCUACAGGCAACGUCCCAAUCAUCCUCUCUGGCUGGUCUGAAAAGUUAAGGAUUAAUUGUUUGGUUCUUUACAUUUAAAAUAAAUUGAUCCAACCUGUGCCUUA